ensembl:snRNA U6 U6 spliceosomal RNA
GUGUUUUCUUUGGCAGCACAUAUACUAAAAAAUUGGAAUGAUACAGAGAAGAUUAGCAUGGCCCCUGCAUAAGGAUGACAUGCAAAUUCAUGAAGCAUUACAUAUUUUU